rnacentral:rRNA from 1 species
GACGAACGCUGGCGGCGUGCUUAACACAUGCAAGUCGAACGGAAAGGCCCUGCUUUUGUUGGUUUCUCGAGUGGCGAACGGGUGAGUAACACGUGAGUAACCUGCCCUUGACUUUGGGAUAACUUCAGGAAACUGGGGCUCAUACCGGAUAUGAUCUCCUGCUGCAUGGUGUGGGUUGGAAAGUUUCGGCGGUUGGGGAUGGACUCGCGGCUUAUCAGCUUGUUUGUGUGGUAGUUGCUUACCAAGGGUUUGACGGGUAGCCGGCCUGAGAGGGUGACCGGCGACAUUGGGACUGAGAGACGGCCCAGACGCCAACGGGAGGCAGCAGGGGGGAAUAUGGCACAAUGGGCGGAAGCCUGAUGCAGCAACGCCGCGUGCGGGAUGACGGCCUUCGGGUUGUAAACCGAUUUCGCCUGUGACGAAGAGUGAGUGACGGUAAUGGGUAAAGAAGCACCGGCUAACUACGUG